rnacentral:rRNA from 1 species
GCAGUGUACCCGCGGCAAGACGGAAAGACCCCGUGAACCUUUACUAUAGCUUGACACUGAACAUUGAGCCUUGAUGUGUAGGAUAGGUGGGAGGCUUUGAAGUGUGGACGCCAGUCUGCAUGGAGCCGGCCUUGAAAUACCACCCUUUAAUGUUUGAUGUUCUAACGUGGACCCGUGAUCCGGGUUGCGGACAGUGUCUGGUGGGUAGUUUGACUGGGGCGGUCUCCUCCUAAAGAGUAACGGAGGAGCACGAAGGUUGGCUAAUCCUGGUCGGACAUCAGGAGGUUAGUGCAAUGGCAUAAGCCAGCUUGACUGCGAGCGUGACGGCGCGAGCAGGUGCGAAAGCAGGUCAUAGUGAUCCGGUGGUUCUGAAUGGAAGGGCCAUCGCUCAACGGAUAAAAGGUACUCCGGGGAUAACAGGCUGAUACCGCCCAAGAGUUCAUAUCGACGGCGGUGUUUGGCACCUCGAUGUCGGCUCAUCACAUCCUGGGGCUGAAGUAGGUCCCAAGGGUAUGGCUGUUCGCCAUUUAAAGUGGUACGCGAGCUGGGUUUAGAACGUCGUGAGACAGUUCGGUCCCUAUCUGCCGUGGGCGCUGGAGAACUGAGGGGGGCUGCUCCUAGUACGAGAGGACCGGAGUGGACGCAUCACUGGUGUUCGGGUUGUCAUGCCAAUGGCACUGCCCGGUAGCUAAAUGCGGAAGAGAUAAGUGCUGAAAGCAUCUAAGCACGAAACUUGCCCCGAGAUGAGUUCUCCCUGAGACUUAGAGUCUCCUGAAGGAACGUUGAAGACGACGACGUUGAUAGGCCGGGUGUGUAAGCGCAGCGAUGCGUUGAGCUAACCGGUACUAAUGAACCGUGAGGCUUAACCUUACA